rnacentral:sRNA from 1 species
GUCGUGAGAUGUUGGGUUAAGUCCCGCAACGAGCGCAACCCUUGUCAUUAGUUGCUACAUUCAGUUGGGCACUCUAAUGAGACUGCCGGUGACAAACCGGAGGAAGGUGGGGAUGACGUCAAGUCCUCAUGGCCCUUAUGGGUAGGGCUUCACACGUAAUACAAUGGCGCGUACAGAGGGCUGCUAAGCCGCGAGGUAGAGCCAAUCCCUUAAAGCGCGUCGUAGUCCGGAUUGCAGUCUGCAACUCGACUGCAUGAAGUCGGAAUCGCUAGUAAUCGCGGAUCAGCAUGUCGCGGUGGAUACGUUCCCGGGUCUUGUACACACCGCCCGUCACACCAUGGGAGUGGGUUUCACCAGAAGCCGGUCGCUUAACCGCAAGGAUGGCGCCGACCACGGUGAGAUUCAUGACUGGGGUGAAGUCGUAACAAGGUAGCCGUAUCGGAAGGUGCGGCUGGAUCACCUCCUUUCUAGAUCAGCACCUCGCAGUGCCCACCAUCUAUCGGCUGUUACUUCUCCAAGAGAGCGGGUCUGUAGCUCAGUUGGUUAGAGCACCGUCUUGAUAAGGCGGGGGUCGAUGGUUCGAAUCCAUCCAGACCCACCAACUCGAAGGCGCGGGGCCAUAGUUCAGCUGGGAGAACGCCUGCUUUGCAAGCAGGAGGUCACCGGUUCGAUCCCGGUUGGCUCCACCAGCACCAGCAACUCGAGGAAGCAACAAUCAAGCGCGCGUGCGCGCUUGAUUGGUGUUUCUUCAAACACCGAUCGGCUGCUCUUUAACAAUUUGGGAUUGAAGGUAAAGUUGUUCUCAUCGCGCGAGUGAUGAGGGCUAACUGGGUUAUGUAUUGCAUCGUGUUCUGCGCCAGAGGAACGGCGUGGAUGCACAACUUAAGCGUGAGAGUUACCUAUCUCUUUGUGGUGGCUGCGGCGACUUUGGCCGUGGUCGCUUUCGCUCUAAAGGCGAAGGCAGCAAGGUUAUAGGGUCAAGCGAAUAAGUGCAUGUGGUGGAUGCCUUGGCAAUGAUAGGCGAUGAAGGACGUGACAGCCUGCGAUAAGCUGCGGGGAGCCGGCAAAUGGGCGCUGAUCCGCAGAUUU